GUCCCAGUGGCGCAAUCGGUUAGCGCACGGUACUUAUAAUGCCGAGGUUGUGAGUUCGAGCCUCACCUGGGACA